rnacentral:sRNA from 1 species
ACCCGCUGAACUUAAGCAUAUCAAUAAGCGGAGGAAAAGAAACCAACAGGGAUUGCCCCAGUAACGGCGAGUGAAGCGGCAACAGCUCAAAUUUGAAAUCUGGUCCCCCCGCGGGGCCCGAGUUGUAAUUUGAAGAGGAUGCUUCUGGCAAGGUGCCGUCCGAGUUCCCUGGAACGGGACGCCGCAGAGGGUGAGAGCCCCGUACGGUCGGACGCCGAGCCUCUGUGAAGCUCCUUCGACGAGUCGAGUAGUUUGGGAAUGCUGCUCAAAAUGGGAGGUAAACCCCUUCUAAAGCUAAAUACCGGCCAGAGACCGAUAGCGCACAAGUAGAGUGAUCGAAAGAUGAAAAGCACUUUGAAAAGAGAGUUAAAAAGCACGUGAAAUUGUUGAAAGGGAAGCGCUUGCGACCAGACUCGCGCCCGUCGGAUCAGCCGUCGCUCGUCGGCGGCGCACUCCGGCGGGCUCGGGCCAGCAUCAGUUCGCCUCGGGGGGAGAAAGGCGGCGGGAAUGUGGCUCCACGGAGUGUUAUAGCCCACCGCGUAAUACCCCCGGGCGGACUGAGGACCGCGCGUAUGCAAGGAUGCUGGCGUAAUGGUCGUCAGCGACCCGUCUUGAAACACGGACCAAGGAGUCGUCCUAAUAUGCGAGUGUACGGGUGUCAAACCCCUGCGCGUAAUGAAAGUGAACGGAGGUGAGAGCUUCGGCGCAUCAUCGACCGAUCCUGAUGUUCUCGGAUGGAUUUGAGUAAGAGCAUAUUGGGCCGGACCCGAAAGAAGGUGAACUAUGCCUGUGUAGGGUAAAGCCAGAGGAAACUCUGGUGGAGGCUCGCAGCGGUUCUGACGUGCAAAUCGAUCGUCAAACAUGGGCAUGGGGGCGAAAGACUAAUCGAACCUUCUAGUAGCUGGUUUCCGCCGAGUUYYCCCC